GGGGAGUACUCUCUUUAAGAAUUGACGCUUCGCUUGGGCGCUCUAUUAUUGCCUCCUAUUCCUGAGGGGGAGAUCAGGGGCAAAUAGGGAUGGACAGCUCGAAGAGAGCGCCUCAUCGGAACAAGAGUACAACCAAUUCAUAGAGGGGAAGUCAAUAGACUCUUUUCCUUGUCCUUGAAAGGAGAGAUAUAUUCUUUUGUCGGAUCCCUAUUUUCCUUUGAUGGGCAUCAUCCGUCUUCGGAGGUUGUUCAUGAAAUCACUGAUUCCGUUCUGGAAGAUAGAUGCUUCUCUUUGAU